rnacentral:rRNA from 1 species
UACGUAGGGUGCAAGCGUUAAUCGGAAUUACUGGGCGUAAAGCGUGCGCAGGCGGUCGUGCAAGACAGAUGUGAAAUCCCCGGGCUUAACCUGGGAACUGCAUUUGUGACUGCACGGCUGGAGUGCGGCAGAGGGGGAUGGAAUUCCGCGUGUAGCAGUGAAAUGCGUAGAUAUCAGGAGGAACACCGAUGGCGAAGGCAGGUCUCUGGGCUGACACUGACGCUCAUGCACGAAAGCGUGGGGAGCAAACAGG